rnacentral:rRNA from 1 species
GACGAACGCUGGCGGCGUGCUUAACACAUGCAAGUCGAACGGAAAGGCCCUGCUUUUGUGGGGUGCUCGAGUGGCGAACGGGUGAGUAACACGUGAGUAACCUGCCCUUGACUUUGGGAUAACUUCAGGAAACUGGGGCUAAUACCGGAUAGGAGCUCCUGCUGCAUGGUGGGGGUUGGAAAGUUUCGGCGGUUGGGGAUGGACUCGCGGCUUAUCAGCUUGUUGGUGGGGUAGUGGCUUACCAAGGCUUUGACGGGUAGCCGGCCUGAGAGGGUGACCGGCCACAUUGGGACUGAGAUACGGCCCAGACUCCUGCGGGAGGCAGCAGUGGGGAAUAUUGCACAAUGGGCGGAAGCCUGAUGCAGCAACGCCGCGUGCGGGAUGACGGCCUUCGGGUUGUAACCCGCUUUCGCCUGUGACGAAGCGUGAGUGACGGUAAUGGGUAAAGAAGCACCGGCUAACUACGUG